CGCCUGUUUAUCAAAAACAUGGUUUCUUGUGAUAAUUAAGAAAUUUAACCUGCCCACUGAAUUUAUUUGAAGGGCCGCAGUAUUUUGACUGUGCGAAGGUAGCAUAAUCAUUAGUCUUUUAAUUGAAGGCUGGAAUGAAUGGUUGGACGAGGUAAAAUCUUUCUUAUAUUAAUUAAUUUGAAUUUAGAUUUUAAGUAAAAAUACUUAAAUAUUAUUAAGGGACGAGAAGACCCUAUAGAGUUUAAUAAUUUAAGUUUUAAUUAAGUUAAAUUAGAAUUUUUGGUUAUUAUUAUAUUUAUUUAAUUGGGGUGAUUAGAAGAUAAUAAAAACUCUUCUUUAAUUUAAAUAAUUUAUUUAAUUUAUUGAUCCAUUUAUUAUGAUUAUAAGAUUAAAUUACCUUAGGGAUAACAGCAUAAUUUUUUUUAAGAGUUCUUAUCGAAAAAGAAGAUUGUGACCUCGAUGUUGGAUUAAGAUAAAUAUUGGGUGUAGAUGUUCAAAUAUUAGGUCUGUUCGACCUUUAAAUUCUUACAUGAUCUGAGUUCAAACCGGAGA
rnacentral:rRNA from 1 species